rnacentral:rRNA from 1 species
UACGUAGGGACCAAGCGUUGUCCGGAAUCAUUGGGCGUAAAGAGCGUGUAGGCGGCUUGUUAAGUCUUGCGUGAAAUCUCGGGGCUCAACCCCGAGCGGUCGUGAGAAACUGGCAGGCUAGAGUGCGGGAGAGGAGAGUGGAAUUCCGGGUGUAGCGGUGGAAUGCGUAGAGAUCCGGAGGAAGACCGGUGGCGAAGGCGGUCUGCUGGGCAGUUUCUGGACACUGAGGCGCGACAGCGUGGGGAGCAAACAGGG